UCCCGUUAUAUAGUAUUAUAGAUAAUUGGAAAAACUUCAAAUACUAUUCUUGUGGUUUUACACUUUCUCACUUUAGUACCAUAUAGUUUAAAUUAUAUCAAUUUAGUACCAUGUGGUUUUAUUUUUAUUUUUUUAUUAUCGAUUCUACUAAUUUUUUUCGUUAAAUUAGUGACAAAGUUAAAACUAAAGGGUACUAAAGUGAAUAUUCGAUAAACCUAGGUAGGGUAUUUGAAGUUUUUUUUAUAUAAUUUAACGAAAUAUUAACGGAAAAGCUGACAAAAAGAUAAAAAUGAAACCACAGGACACUAACUUGAUACACUUCAAAUCACAGGGUACUAAAGUGAAAAAGUGCGAAACCACAGGGAUGGCAUUUGAAGUUUACCCUAGAUUAUUUCGACAUAUUCAGGUAUCUUGAAUUUUUGAAUAAGAUUACGACUGAUACUGUAUUAGCGCAUUUGGUUAAUAUAGUAAUGUAAUGGUGAAUUACAGUAUAUAUAGUAUUACUAUUUUUGAUUCAGUUUAUAAAUUCAAUAUUCUUGACAAUAAAGUAUAAUCUAUUCUAAAAUUGCUCUUAGUCAUAUUUGGUAAAAAUUUUUUACUGUUUACAAAUAAUGAUUUUUUUAAUAAAUUUUAUUUUAAAUAAUUUAAAAUUUGAAUUUAAAAUUUAUUUUUUAAUUUUAAAUUUUAAAUCUGAUCACAAACAUAAAAUUUAAUUAUUUAAUUUAAAAUAUAAUUUUAAAUUUUAAAAUUUAAAAUUUUAUAUUUGAAAUUUGAAACUUGAAAUUUAAAAAUUUAAAAUUUAAAAUUUGAUAAUUUAAAAAAUUAAAUUAAAAUUUUAAAAAUGAUGUAUUGACAAGGUAUCGAGGUUCGGAGGGAUAAACUUGUAAUUUUGGAUAAAUGUAGGAUAACUAAUUACAAAAUACUCGCCCUCCGCAAUAAUAAUUUUAGUGUAAUUCUGCACCAUUUGUAAUGCUAAAUUACUAAUCAGAUUACAUACUGAUUGAAUCAAACGCAGUAAUUCUGACAAAAUUGUCUGUAAUCCUAUAAAAAUAAUCGGAACUAAAUGCACCCUUA
rnacentral:lncRNA from 1 species